GAUGAACGCUAGCGGGAGGCCUAACACAUGCAAGCCGAGCGGUAGAGAUUCUUCGGAAUCUUGAGAGCGGCGUACGGGUGCGGAACACGUGUGCAACCUGCCUUUAUCAGGGGGAUAGCCUUUCGAAAGGAAGAUUAAUACCCCAUAAUAUAUUGAAUGGCAUCAUUUGAUAUUGAAAACUCCGGUGGAUAGAGAUGGGAACGCGCAAGAUUAGAUAGUUGGUGAGGUAACGGCUCACCAAGUCUACGAUCUUUAGGGGGCCUGAGAGGGUGAUCCCCCACACGUGUACUGAGACACGGACCAGACUCCUACGGGAGGCAGCAGUGAGGAAUAUUGGACAAUGUGUGCGAGCCUGAUCCAGCCAUCCCGCGUGAAGGACGACGGCCCUAUGGGUUGUAAACUUCUUUUGUAUAGGGAUAAACCUAGAUACGUGUAUCUAGCUGAAGGUACUAUACGAAUAAGCACCGGCUAACUCCGUGCCAGCCGCCGCCGUAA
rnacentral:rRNA from 1 species